rnacentral:rRNA from 1 species
UACGAAGGGGGGCUAGCGUUGUUCGGAAUUACUGGGCGUAAAGCGCGCGUAGGCGGUGAUCUUUGUCAGAGGUGAAAUCCCGAGGCUCAACUUCGGAAUUGCCUUUGAAACGGGAUCGCUUGAGUCCGAGAGAGGAUGGCGGAAUUCCUAGUGUAGAGGUGAAAAUUCGUAGAUAUUAGGAAGAACACCGGUGGCGAAGGCGGCCAUCUGGCUCGGUACUGACGCUCAGGCGCGAAAGCGUGGGGGAGCAAACAGGG